UACGUAGGGUGCGAGCGUUGUCCGGAAUUACUGGGCGCAAAGAGCUCGUAGGUGGUUUGUCGCGUUGUUCGUGAAAUCUCACGGCUUAACUGUGAGCGUGCGGGCGAUACGGGCAGACUAGAGUACUGCAGGGGAGACUGGAAUUCCUGGUGUAGCGGUGGAAUGCGCAGAUAUCAGGAGGAACACCGGUGGCGAAGGCGGGUCUCUGGGCAGUAACUGACGCUGAGGAGCGAAAGCGUGGGGAGCGAACAGG
rnacentral:rRNA from 1 species